rnacentral:lncRNA from 1 species
GAGCAUUCAUCAACACGGCUGUGCAUCCACUGCGCCCAGCCAAGCUGGGAAGGCUGCUCUGGUCUUAGUAUGCUGCAUCCUUCAACCGUAGAUUCCAAUGUACGCUGACACCGUUAAGCAGCAUUGUCAGUACUGCACACCACCUGCGGUAGGCCACCCGGCGUCUGUCAAUAUGACUGAACAAGCCCCCGUGUGCCCCACAACCCUUUGGUUUGGCGGUGUUUAGAAACACCGGACAUACAUAGUGACGGGGUGACAGCACGAACUUGCAGGCUCCUUCUCAGCCCGCUCAAUUGCUGAUUGCACGACAGGAUACUGCGGCUGCAGCCUCACUUGCGUCCUGCGCUCCACGGCCUCCUGCCACCUGCUAUGCUGGCAGUCACACAUGCACGCGUCGCCAUACAGACACAGUGACAUACAUGAAUGCGCAACUCUGCAUCCAUCCUCGGCACUCAAUUUGCCCUGCCACACAACUACAGUAUGAAAUAGAUUAUGGGUGGAGCAGCGGGAAGCCCAUCCAUCAGCAUGCAUUCCCGACUUGCGACCACGCAACCACAAACCUGCACGGGCACGGGCAGAAAUGACAGCAUCACACCCCUCUCAUUAGGCUGACUGCCGGGGGCAGCUACCUCGCCCCACGCAUUCCCCUGGGGCCGCAGCUCCAGUCACCCUAAGCAACACGCUGUGGUACAUGCUCCACGACUACCAACGGCUCAAUGUAACAUCCGCCAUAUGUGCAUAGCGUGCCUCACCACCCACAGCAGCGCGCCCCUGGCUCCACGACCCGUUCAAGAAAUUGCACAUCUGCACACACACCUGUACCUGCAGUAGGCCUGCCCCCAGCGUGUCUUCCACUGCCGCCCACGCCUUUGCCAGCCCCCUUACAUGCGCUGCCAUCAUGGGUCCUGCCAUCACCGUGACACCUUGUCUUGAAGUUGCGCCCGCACAUUCUCCCGCCGCCCAGCCCCGCCGCCCGCCACCCUGCACAUUCAGCAUGCGCGGCAAAAGGUCUUGGAGUCGGAGGGCAUCGAUCCCCCUACCUCCCGCACAUUGUGUCGGGCGCUCAGCCACAUGCUAAGCGGGCGCUCUACCAUUUGAGCUACGACCCCAGAAGGUCCGCGGUGCACUGCACACGCUGGAAGGUCCUGCUGAGACUUGAACUCAGGUUAGCAGAUUCAGAGUCUGCUGUCCUAACCACUAGACCACAGGACCACAGGAUGCACUAGCCGAGAAUCGAACUCGGGUCUGGUCCGUACAAGCUGGAUAGAGCGGUGAGCUCAAUCCUAAGUUGGCAAGGACCUAUGCUACCACUAUACCACUAGUGCGGAUGCAUCGCCAUGGGCUCGAACGGAGCGCAGACCGCACAGAAUACACCCUCACGAGGCCGCACAGGACCCAGCUACACAGGGCAAGCGCGGGGGAGCGCGGGGGAGGCGCGCGUGGGCUCGGGGCGGGUGGGGAACACGCAGGGACGCAGCAAACAGGUGGACACGCACGCGGCCAGCUUGCGGUCCUGCGGAUAGCGCUGACAGAGUCAUAGCCGCACGCUACGCUGUGCCACUUACUCAGUUGCACGCUGCUGGCUCCAGAUAUAGUCCUUUGAAGGGCUGAGGGCGUGGUCAAC